rnacentral:tRNA from 1 species
AAAAUUAUAGUUUAUUUAAAAUAUUUAAUUUGCAUUUAAAAGAAACAUAAGUUAAUUUUA